rnacentral:ncRNA from 2 species
UUCAGACAUCUUCUUUUUUUUCCUCAUAAGAAAUAGCCUCAAGAAUUCAACCAUAUCCUCAGGAAAUCAUAUUAACCGGUGUUCAAUAUCUUGAUCCAUCUCAAAAGGCCAUAUCACAUUGAGAAGUAAUAAAAUCAGCUAUUUUACUGUCAACAUUUUCUUCCAGCCCAUUUGCUUAUGUGGACCCCUUGCACUGUAACAUGGCCUAUUUGUACCUUGAGCUCCUCAAAGACUCACUCAACGAGUAUGCAUAUGCAGCAGAGCUAGCAGGCUUGAGCUAUGAUCUCCAAAAUACCAUCUAUGGGAUGUAUUCGCUACAUUUAUGCUGAUCCUCUCCAUUGCAACAUGACAUACCUGUUUAUCAGGUUAUUGAAGGAUGAUUUAAAAGAGUAUACAUAUGCAGCACGCCUCUCAGGUUUGAGCUAUGGCAUUGCAUCAGGAAUGAAUGCAAUACUUCUUUCAGUGAAAGGUUACAAUGACAAGCAGCCAAUUUUACUAAAGAAGAU